rnacentral:rRNA from 1 species
GGGCCCGCACAAGCAGCGGAGCAUGUGGUUUAAUUCGAAGCAACGCGAAGAACCUUACCAGGGCUUGACAUCUACAGAAUACUGCAGAGAUGCGGUAGUGCCUCGUAAGAGGAGCUGUAAGACAGGUGGUGCAUGGUUGUCGUCAGCUCGUGUCGUGAGAUGUUGGGUUAAGUCCCGCAACGAGCGCAACCCUUGUCAUUAGUUGCUAACACGCAAAGGUGAGCACUCUAAUGAGACCGCUGAGGUAAACUUGGAGGAAGGUGGGGAUGACGUCAAAUCAUCAUGCCCUUUAUGUCCUGGGCGACACACGUGCUACAAUGGCUGAAACAGAAAGAAGCAAAGCCGCAAGGUGGAGCAAAUCUUUUAAAAACAGUCCCAGUUCGGAUUGAGGGCUGCAACCCGCCCUCAUGAAGCCGGAGUUGCUAGUAAUCGCGAAUCAGCAUGUCGCGGUGAAUACGUUCCCGGGCCUU